GGAGAAGCUGUAGCUUAGAGGCAGAGCAUCUGCUUAGUAUGCAGAAGGUCUCAGAUUCAAUCCCGAGCAUCUCCA
rnacentral:tRNA from 1 species